rnacentral:lncRNA from 1 species
ACUUGGGGGCAGUUAGUCAGUGACAUCUGAAAGCUAGAAAAGUCAAGGAAAUGGGUUCUCCCCUAGAGCCUCUAGAGGGAGUUCAGCUCUGCCAAUAUCUUGAUUUCAGCCCUGUGAGACCCAUUUGGACCUCCGACCUCCAGAACUCCAUCCACACUGCCAGUGCCCAGAGCAGGCUGGAGAGGGACCAAGGAUGGAAAAGGAAGACCUCCUGCACAGGGUGUAUCAGUCUGGGUCCGAUCAGGAAAACAGAAGCCACUCUGCAUGUUUCAGAUGGGAACCCGAGGCACAGAGAGGUUCAGAAACUUCCCA